rnacentral:lncRNA from 1 species
GCUCCUUUGUCCACGAGAUUUUCCAGGCAAAAAUACUGGAGCAGGUUGCCAUUCCCUUCUCCAGGGGAUCUUCCUGACCCAGGGAUCGAACCUGCAUCUCCUGCAUUGGGAGAUGGAUUCUUUACCACUGAGUCACCUGGGAAGCCUGAAUUAGCAAUACUGAGUCUUUAUUCCUAGGGAAAAUACAGCACUAGGUUUUUGUGAGCCUCUAAUCACAUUUUUUUCAAUUGAUCAAACUUAACCUUGUUUUAUGCGUAUUUCUGCUCGGACACAUUACUUGGUAUAUAUCGUUGAUUCGAAAUGGACACAACUGCUCUAACACACCUGUUUUCUCUGUAAUCCACAUCACAACUUUCUUGCAGUUAGAAAGCACUUCAGCACGAUGUUUGGGGCCAUUUGAAAGAGCACAGUCACUCACAAAAAGCACAAAAUUGUGAAGAGCCCUGCACUAGAUGGAUCACGGAAAGGACAUGUUAACAGUGUGAGCUGUAACAGGAGGGUGGAGCAUCGGUCGGCUUGCUGGACUUCAGCUGGGAGUUUGCACGUGGGGCCACUCUUCGAAUGUCCACCAGCGACCCUGAAGGCAUGAUUCCCUUGGCCUCAGCACCAAAGCAGAGGAGACCCAGAAGGAUAAGCCAGAACAUUGGAGAGCUGGGUCCCCACCCCAACAGCAGGACCCACAGGCCAGGUCUCACUGGGCUCUUGACGCAGAGCAGUGCCUCCAUCCAUCAGCAUCCUCUAAAGCCAAGGAGACCCUGCUUCCAGGAGGCAGUGAGGAGGCUGGGAGAGAGGAGGUGGCCUGCAGCAGCAGCUACGUGGCUCCCUCCUGCAGAGGGCCUCCCGAGCCCCAGCCUAACAUGGGCCUUUGCAGGUACUACUCAGUUUAUUUCUAGCUACUGGAGGAUUGUGGAGCCCUGUCUACCUGGCUGCUUCCCCAAGAUGACUUUUCACCAGGUGUGA